CAAAUCAAGACCAGGACCUUUGAUGUCCCCGCCCUCCCCGCGUCGCCGGAAAGGAAAUCUCUCAAACCCUCGACACCCGCCACCCCUCUCCGAAGAGUGCCACCGCGGAGGUGCUCAGAACCGGAAGGGGACGCUUUGGGAAUGACCAUGCUCUACGGAGGGACAGAGCCUGCCCCCAGCUUCUCCACACAGAGACUCCUCUACUAAAGCUCCAAAAAAAUUAAAAAGAAAAAAAAAGAAA
rnacentral:lncRNA from 1 species